UUACUGUGUACCUAGAGAAAAAGUGUUGGUAGUGCCAGGGUAUUAAAUAAGGCUCUCAUUUCUUCUCAGUAAAGGUUAUUUUCUUAAAUUGGCAAUUAACUCUUUUUUCCCAUUUCUCUAAGACUGUGCUUAUUCAUUAAGACAAAUUUCAUUUCAUGAAAAAUGCAGAUAACUUCUUUAAUUAGUUUUUAAGUGUUCAUGGUAUAGACCUUAUAUAAUACAUAUAACCUUGCAAAUAGAAGAUAUGCUUUUAUCAGUCUUAUUUCAUAAAGUUUAACAAUUUUGCAAAAGGAAAUACACAGAGUAACUCCAUCUGAUUUUGAUUCUCUUAUAAUAAGUGGACGAGUAGUUUAUAAAUCUUCUAAACUUGUUUCUGAAGCUGUUUUUAGAGAAAUAGAUAAUAGAUUCUAUAUUUCUUGAAUAUUUUCAUUAUUAUGAAGGUAACUUCUGAGGUUAAUUUUUAUGGGAUAAAUAUGGGUUUAUGAUAGAAGUACAGUAUAUUUUGGUCUCUUUUUACUAACUUUCUUUUUGCUUUUUGAAAACUAAAAUAUAUUCUACAGCAAAAUAAGCUUUCUCUUUUCCUCAGGGCACUACAAUUUAAUAGAAAGGAAAGCUCAUUUAGAACUUUAUUGGCUCCAGUUCCUUCCAGCUACAGCAUAAUCAGAGACCUUGAAUUUUCAUGUCAUAGCAGUGGUGUUCUUGGGAUAUGUGUGAAUUGAGUUUGGUAUAUCCUAUCUGGGCCUCCAUAACUGGUGACCAGAGCUCCCCAUUAUUAAACUCACGAUAUCACUCUGCCAUUCUCAUAGCAAGCUGUUGGAUCUCUAAGACAUGGACUCAAGCUUUUCCUGCCUCUCAGAACAUGUCCAGUUAACUUUUGUCACUAAAGUCUUCCUUCUCUUGGAACUCACAUACCUUCUUCAAUAAACCCUGUUAGAAGAGGAUGAGAAGGGGCGUUGCUGUGACCUCUAUCAGUGCCUUGACCUGUAUCAGUGCCCACAGGAGAAGGCAGCAGGAAUUGCCAGCCUCUAGAGACUGCCCGACUUCUUUUGUCUUUCAUGUGCAUCAGAGAAUUGGUGCGACGACUUGCUCAUCUCAACACUUUGAAUACUUUAUGGUUCUUUAAACACCUCUUGUGUGCAUUAUCUUAUUUCACCCUGGACACAACUCUGUGAAGUCAACAGCUACUAGUAUUGGUUCCAAUUGUACAUACAAGGAAAUUAUCUCAGAGGAGGUGGUACGUGGUAGGAGCUCAUGGAACAGCAGAACUGGCAUAGAAGGCAGGCCCAUCUAUGUGUAGGAAGGUCCAAGUGUUCAAUGAUGGCAUUGUCUCUUGUCUUCUGUCUGCAGUACUGUGCAUGCGUAGGACAGGGAGGAAAAGCCCUUCCUGGGAUACUCUUGUGGCUGACUUGUGGCAGUAGCUUUUGCCGGUGCUUUAGGCUAUGAGUCCAUAUACAUGGUACAACAUCUAUAGUGCGUGGAGGACACAAAACUCUCUUAGCCUUGCCAUGCCUGGGAGCUUGCCACAAAUGCAGAAUCUCAGGCUCCACCCCAGACGUAAGGAAUCCCAGUCUGCACUUUAAUAAGGUCUGCAGGUGACUUUUCUGUACACUAUGUUUGGGAAGCACCAGCUCUAGAAUACAGAACAUAAGAGAUCCUACAGUUGAAAAUAAGGUGAGAGGUACGUGUGCGUGUGUAUGUCUGUGAAGAUUUCAUUUUGUGUAUGUUUGUAAACGUGAGAGUAUGUUCAUCUCAUUUUACUUUUGUAAAAAUAACAUUUAAUGAGAUAUAAUUCACAGACCAUACAUUCACUAGUUUAAGUGUUUUUAGUGUAUAUUCACAGACUUGCACAACCAUCAACACAGCCAAUUUCAGAACAUUUUCAUCACCCUGAGAAGCGACUCCAUGCCCACACUGGCCAUUUCCUCCCAAAGCCCUACCCCUCUUCCUGAAAUCCCCUGACAGUCAAUCACUUGUGUACCUCUGCCUUUAUGGAUUGGAUUUGCCUAUUCUGUACAUUUCAUAUCUGAAAGAAAUAAUGCAAUACAUGGUCCUUUGUGUCUGGAUUCUCUCCCUCAGCAUGAUGUUUUCAGGCUCCAUCCAUGUUGUAGCAUGUAUCAAUGCUUCUUUCUGUUGCUGCUUUUUACCUGCCUUCAAUGUAUGCUGGACAGGAGUAAGGAGAUGCCGGGUUUUUUGUUGGCCUUGAGGAACUUGAGACAGUCUUGUCAUUCGUUGUAUAGUUAGGAGUCAAUAGAGUGAUUUCUUAGUGUGAUGAAAGCUUUUCUAAUGUCUCAAGCUCUAGGAUUGGAGAACUGUGUGACAGUGAAAUACUAGGAGUGUUGUUACAUGCUUUCAGUUGAAGAAAUAAAAUAUUAGUGUUUUCUAGUUUCCUUUCAAGUGAAGUUUUAAUUCCUUCAUUUUCAACCACUUCUCCCACAAAAACAGUGGUAUGCCAUCCAUGCCCUAUUGAAAACUGUGCCUGUCUUUACAAAAUACCCAGCUGAUGUUGGUGAAAAUUAAAAUGACAAAAUAUUGUGUUCAGAUAAAUAACAACAAUGGCUAUAUUUUUGGCAAGAAACCACAUGAUUGUCCCUCCCCCAAGCAGUCUGUUCCCUUCAGUUCUGAAUGUUUAGUAAUUUGAAGCGUCCCAGAGGAAGACAGCAUUUUUUCCUUUGUUGUCUGUGCUCAGCUCUGAAAAUUUUAUUUGUCAAAUAAAGGACAGUUUGUUUUACUUCAGAUAUUUAAAUACCUUUUAAGGAAUCUGUCAUGCAGAGUGCCUCACCGAUUGGGGAAAAUCUUUGCUUGGCUCUUGGACUUUCCAGUGAUAACUUUGUAAUGCACAUAAAUAUGCAUAAUGUGUGGUGACCAGAAAGGAAUGGCAGGAAGAUGUUUUUAUACCUAUAUAGAAGUCAUUUUAGCAUUUCACUACUAUAUUGGUUGUUGAUCAAACAUUUGGAAAUGCUUAUUUUCACGUUUUUGCAAUGUGAAAAGCUUUCCUUUUCCCUCUUCUUGUCUCCCCUACUUAGCUCAUCUUAAUGCCACUAAAUAACCAGCGCCUUAUUUGGCUGGCUGCCUGGUAAACCAGAUGACUGAAAACAAUACUGGAGAUCUUGUGUGGUCACUUUCUAAAGGGUUUUGUGCUUCUUUUAUAUUCUUGUCUCCCUCUCCUUCUUUGGUGGGUAGACUCAAUUAUUUGGCUUGUGUUUGAGAAGGGCCUGGGCAAAAUGCCACUUAUCUAUCUUUUCAGCUUUUUGGGGACAUGCUUUCUUAACAGAUUUCUUUGGGAUAUAAGGUUCUUUCUUUAACCUGACUAAUCUUUUUCUAGGUGCUGCAAAAUACUGAUCGUUUUUAGCAAAUUAUAAACAUUAUGUUCUUCAGUGUCACAGAGUUGCUGUGGUAUAUAUGUACAUUUGUGUGUAUAAUGCUGAGGUUUCUGAGAAGAGGAAAAAAAAAGAUUAAAAAUCCUUGCCCGCUUUAGACUUGGAAAUUAACAUGACUGGGUUAGCCAGAUCCCUCUGUUGGAGGAAAUAGGAAAGAUUGGAUUGAAUCCUAUGUCAAGGAAAUUGACUUGGCUGGAUUUCAGGUAGCAGGAUGGGCUGGCCCACUAAAGAUCUGUGUCAGUAUCCUUAGUGGCCCUGGAAUUGGGACAGGAUAACUAUUUUUUUGUAAUAGGUCAAACUCUGGGGGAAAAAAGGGCAGGGAAACAACAUUCAGUGAGAACCUCCUGUGUGUUAGGGGGUGUUGCUUAAAUACUAUGCACAUUCUUGCAUAACAACCUUGUGAGCUAUGUAUUGUUGUUAUUCUUAUCAGGACCACUGCUUUAUAAAUGGGGAGACUGAGACCUGGAAAAGUUAAUUAAGUUUGCUAAAGUGAAAUACCUGGGAAGUGGGUGUCAGGGGCUGCUGUCCCCCAAGCUGGUGAAGUUUAUCUUUAAUCUGUCUCUGCUCAGACUCUUUAAAGGGUGCAGUUGUUGGAAAAUGAUGUAUAUUAUGGCUGAUGGAAAAACAGAGGACAAAAAUACAAGAUCCCUUAAGAGACUCAAAUUUCUCUGUACCCAGAAUGCUAUAAUAGUAGCAUUUCCAGGUACAGGGGUAAUCUUCCCUGACCUCCGGGGACCUACAGGUGUGCCAAGCUGCCAGUGACACCCCCUGAUUAGGGAGAGUGCCCCAUCAGAUUCAUCUGGGAAUGCCCUUCUCUUCCUGCUGCAAGAGUCCCCUGGUAUUGUGGCCCUUCCCAACCACUCUGGACACUUUGACUGUGUGGUUCCUGCUCACAGGUGCUAAGUGACUAGUAGUGACACAUUGCCUACUGUUGCUUGCACAAUUUGGAGAAUCAGUGGUUGACAUCCUGAUGAGCACCCUCCAAGCUGCCUGAAGUCUGUUUUGCAGAAAGUGUUUUCUGAUACCUUUGGCAGUUCUCAAAUAAACCCAUGUUAUUUACCAGCUAUAUUUUCUAUGAAUAAUUGGGCCUUUAAAAAAAACCUGUGUAAUAUUUCCAUCUGUGGCAUUUCCCCUUAUAACACCUUAUUUUUUAUUCCCCCUAUGAAUUACAUGCUCAUUGUGAAAAACUUAGAACAAAAGUUAAAUGAAGAAAAGCCACUACCCCAUUAUGAAGAGAUCCUUGUUAAAAUAAUUCUGUAUUUCUUUUCUAUAGAAAAAUAGUAACGCUAAUCUCAUAGAACUCAGUCAAAUAGGUGUAAUCAUUUUAAUCAGUUGACAAUUUAGUAGUUUAAAAAAUAGUUUUCCAGAGUUUUGCUUUCUCUACUGCAUGGUAGGUUGUAGUCCCGUGAGUAAGAAAGUUAAAGCUUGUGCUCAGUGGCAGGACCCCAGUGAGAACCCGGAUAGUGAGGUGAUCAGCAUUCUGCCUUCUUCAAGUCUUCCUAAUUAGUGCAGCCUUUGUUUGGUAGUGGUGAGCUACCUACCCAUCAUUUUAUUUAUCCCACACCAGCCUUAAUAUUUGGAGGAAAAUUUAUUUACUAAGCUCUUGUGUAUAUACCUGUAUGUACGACACAAUUGAUGAAGCACUUAGGUUCCUAGAAAAAAUAUAAACUAGGAAGCUUUAAGGUUUUUAAAAAAAGAAAUAACGAUACUGGCAAAGGGGCUUGAUGGCUUUCUGUGAUAGACAAAAUGAUUCAGUGACCUGUUUCUCAGGAAGCUGGCAGCUACAUUUUCUCCAUUGUGGGGGAAACAUACAUGGGUACAACUUCAACUGUAGCUAAUUGGUUGAAGUGAUACUUUUUAAAAAUUGGAAUCAACAAGGAGAAAUCUGCCAAAACGUAUUCUAUAUGCACUCAACUAAUAAAAGGAGCUGUUGCAUUUUUUUGUGGCAGUGAUGUUUUUAUUUUUAUUUUUGCAAUGUAGUGGAGGAGGGAGGAAUAGAGGCUGAGUAUCUGAGAGUUGGAGCAGAGUGAAUAGGUAGAUUAUGAAUAUAUAUGAAAUCGUGAAGGGGAAUAAAAUAUUGUUACUGCUUUAUCAAAAAAUUUUUUCUUAUUUAAAAAAAAGAAGGUAUAAACUUUGAGCAUCAUGUGCUGAUAUAAUAAUUUCCUUGCAUUGCCUCUUUAUUAAUAGAGACUGCUUGUUUUAGUAGAUUAUUGCAUCUUUAAUUUUUGUUCUAAAGAGACUAGUAAAAAUAGUUUAUGUACUUAUUUUUAACUUUAUUUUGUUUUCUGAGUAAUACAGUCAGCAGAGUGUAAAAGGUUCGAUACUGUUGUAUCUACUCUAGUCCGCCUGGCUAUUCUUCUCCAGAGGCAACCAGUGUUGCCUUAUCAUGUGUUUCUAUCCAAAGAUCAUCCAUGCGUAUGUUGGCAAAUGUGUAUAUGUUCUCUUCCUCUCCCUUCCUUCCUUUCUUACACAAAUGCUGGCAUGCAAAAUAUGCCUCUGUGUCUGUUUUCACUUCAUGUACCUUGUAGAUUAUUUUGUAUCAGAACAUUAAGAGUUCCCUCAUUGUUUCAUGGUUGGGUAGUAAUCUGUUGUAUUAUUAUGCCAUAAUUUACUUAACCACCUUGCUAUUGGCAGAUGUUUAAGGUGUUUUCAGUUUACUCUUUUGAACAAUGCUGCAGUUUAUAAAAUUGUGCACAUAGGUAGAUUUGUUUAGAAAGAAGUAGAAACCAAUAGCUGAAAAAUGAUUUUUUAGUUUUUAAAAAAUGUUAUUUAUUUUGAUAAGGAGAGAGAGAGAGAGACAGACAGACAGAGAGAGACAGAGAAAGAAAAUCCCAAGCAGGCUCCACACACAGUGCUGAGCCUGAUGUAGGUCUCGAUCUCACGACCCUGAGGUCAUAUUUGAACUGAAAUCAAGAGUUGGAUGCUUAACCAACUGAGCCACCCAGGUGCCCCAGCUGAAAGAUGGUCCCUGGAGAUUAGAGAGCCAUCAUUGUUUCAUAAACUGGUGCUCUUUGGAACCCUCAUUAGUAAGGCAGAUGUUAUUUGAGGAGAAGGAAACCAGGAUUUCAUAGGCAAAUAAGCUUGGGGAAAUGCGGUAUUCCCUAUUUUCUCUUGGAGCUCCAGAAAAGAAUUAGCACAUUAAAGACUUGAAGUACUUACGUGGUUUUAACAAUAGCAACAGAAAAUUAUCAAAGAUAGUUUUUCAGACUUAUUUGAGCAUCACAUAUUUCAAGAUUCUUAUUAACAUCUGUCAAGACUGUUUCAAGGAAAACCCAGUUUGGGGAAUGUUGACCUGUGUGAUUCCUCCCUGACUCCCAGAUUCCAUAGAUAACAAAAACUAGCUAACCACUUGUUUUUGUUUUGUUUUGUUUUGUUUUUGUUUUUUUUCAGCUGAUGAAUUGGCUUGCUGCUUGAGUCCUGUUUCUUGACACCUGUAGGCUUGCUCACCUCUCUGAUCCUAAUGCUUAAUGUGAGAAAUGCCUUGUUUGGAAAGUUGUGUGUCAGGACCUUCUUGUGUUCACGGGCUUGAAGACAGGUGGGAUCCGAUGUACUGGGUGGACCCGGUGUGAACUAAAGCCUUGCAGUAGUGGACUAAAACCUGCAGUAUGUGGGGACAAAAGCAAUAAGUUCAUUUUGGCUGGGGUUUGGGACUUAGUAGAGGGUAGAGGAGACUGGCGAGGCUUCAUAAAAUAAGCAGCAGUCCAGCAGAAGUUGUGGUUGGGAGUCCUAGUGUGGAAUAUGGGGUGGAAAGCUGUACAUACUGUUUUGCUUCAGCGCACUGGUUCUCAACACCCCUCCCUCGCCCUGGCAUUGUUUGCAGACAUUUUUGGUUAUCGUGACUGGGAAGGUACUAUUGGCAUCUAAUAGAGGUAAGGGAUACUGCUAAACAUUCUACAAUUAUACAGGACAAAAUACUUCAACAGAGAAGUAUGCAGUCAAUAGCACCCCAAUGAUAAAUCUGCUCUAGUGGGAUCCUACCAGAGUUGGGGUCUUAGUAAGCUGUCAUUAUUUCUUUGUCCAGGCAUCUGAAGUGGCAUAAAUCGACCAUUUGCCAUUUUGGAAUGCUGCUGCUCCCCAGAUGCUAGAAUUCAACAAUGUAGAUUCAGGACUCCUUUGUCACAGUUUUGUAAUUUAAAAAGCUCUGAAAAUAUAAAGUUUCUUCCCAAAGAAGAAACUUCCCAAAGUUUUUUAUCAAUAAAACGUUACCUGCAUUGACUUCCCUGAUGAAGUUUCCGAGGAGUCUUGAUUUACUUGAUUUUGUGUGAAUGUGUUUGAUUGUAAGGUAUUGGCCCAAACUGGGUUGGAGUUUUAUGUAGAAUGGUUGGUGCAGUGUAUUAUCUUUCUAAAAUGUGAGAAGUUCAGUAUUACAAGACACUUUGAGCCCCAAGAUUUCUGAUAAGGGAUUGUGGAUUUAUAUAUUGAACUAAAUUUUUGCCUAAGGAAUUAAGUAGUUUUAGUGACAUUUAUUGAUUUUUUAAAUUCCAAAAAUGACACAGGAUUGUUGUGAAGAAUUUGAGUACAAAAGUUAAUAAUAUUAACACCAUCCGUGUAGUGCUUGCUGUGUGUCCAGGGUGUUCUCAGUACUUUAUGUGUGUUAACUAAGUCUGUCUUCAGAAUUCUGGUGUUGUUUACAAGACAUUUUGGUACAGUGACUUGCCCAAGAUCCCAUAUCUAGUAUAUAGCAGACCUGGGCUUUAAACUCUGGCACAAAGAGGAAAAUCAUCCAUCACCUCAACAGCUAGAGAUGUUAACUGCUUAGACAGUUAAAAGAGUAGUUGAGUGAACCAUAAUUUAUUUAAAUAGUUUUCUGUUGUUGGGCAUUUAGACUGUUUUCAGUUUUUCACAAUAGGACAUUGACGUACACGUUCAUGUAUAAAUAUUUGUCCACAUCUUUGAUAUUGUUAAAAUAGAAUUGCUUAGAGUGUGUAACUUCUUACAGAUUCUUCAUAUAUGUCACAAAACAUGUCAGUUUUAUACUCCCACCAGCAUUCACCCUCAUCAGCACUGAAUGUUAACAUUUUUUCCCCUUCUGAUUCUGAGAUAUAGUAUCUUGGGCUUUUCUGAGAGGAUGAGACAGAUGGCUGGACAAAUUUUAAUUUGUCAGGAUACUAGGGUUAAGAAAAAAAUCUCAGGAAAAAAGCACCCAAAUUAAGUAGUUGAAACAACUGAUUUUUAAAAUUUCAAAUUUCAAAAAAUUAAAUUUUGUAGGCAGUUUCUUUUCACAUUGAUCCAUGAAGUUAAAUUGUGGCUCCAUUUUAAGUUAUCGUGAAGAGUUGACAGAAAUAAGAAUAUCCAGCAUUCGGGGAUGUUCUGGUCAGAGUCUUAUUGGUAUAUGAUCAUUAUUUGACUAAAAUGGCCAUUGCAUAAGUAUUUGUGGAGCAUUUACUAUGUGCCUUACACUGCAACCCUAUCAGGUAGGUACUAUCAGUUGGGUGGGGAAGACUGGGGAGGACCCCACGGGAGGGGUGGUUAGGGAGUAGGGAUGAUUUUAGUUUUGGAUUGGUUAGAUUGGAGGCUGAAAGAUGGAGAUGCCGAGAAGGCCAUUAUAUCCAAAAUAGUUGGGAGUUAUUAGCUUGGAAGCUCACCAGAUUUGCCCUGGUAGUUUAUCAGAAAAUUAUUUUCUUUAAUUUUUUUACAGUGUGUGGCUUAUGAGAACACUUUAUAGCUUUUAAAGAUGUUGACAAAUUUCAUUUGAUAGCUGUGGUUUUCAUAUAUCAAACAUGUAAAAAUUUGUGUCUUCUUGCCCUUUUAAAGACUUGCUCUAAUGCCUAUAGGUAACCUUUAUAACUUGGUUUUACUUUUAUUUCCACAAUCAACAAUGUGUGAAUGGGUUGAUUAUUGCCAUUUUUCUUCAUUGUAGGUAAUUUUACAGCGAAUGCCUUUGUGCAUAAAACACUUCCAGCAUCUGGGAUUUAUUUGGAGGUAGAUCGGAACUAGAAUUAUUGGAUCUUAAUUACUGGAUCUUAAUAUCUGUUGCAAAAUUACCUUCUUGUGCUGAUUUUUGUUCCACAAAUAUGUGCAAGACUUACUCAGCCAGUGGGUUGAAUGUUAUCUUUGAUGAUGUUUGUGACACCAUCAUUCACUUCCUACCUUUUAGAAGAUAUUGUGUAAUCACAAUCAUGUGAUAGCUUUGUAUACUGUGUCUUUAUUUCACAUUGAUCUGUGUGAAUACUGGAUUCACACAGAGUAUUGCCAAGAAUUUUCACAAAUCUAAUCAGAUAAGAAUGUGGGGCUCGUGAUCAUUGUUCUUUAACUCUGUCUGAAGUAUUGAUGUCAGGAUGAUAUUUAAAGUCACUCAAGAUUCAGUCUGCCAGAGUCUGGCUGAUGACAGCAGAAAUACCUAGAAUUCUGUAAAAGAUGACUGUUUUUCAGUGUGUAGUUUGCCUGUCUCUAUGUGAUAAGUGGUAGGGAAGGAAAGCCAUCAUGUGCAUAACUCAGGACAGUUAUCUGGUUAUUUUGGGCAAAAUUAAAAUGACUUUUUGACUGGAAUUUUCCAGUAAUUGUCUCAGUUUUCUACUUUGUUUUCCAUUUUUUCCCAGUAAAAAUUUUACUCUCCAACCUUUAAUUUCUAUCAUUUUUCCUCUGGUUUUCUACAGCCAGUGUCCCCAUUUUGUGUAGUUUUCUCAAAGUUACUACUGAUUCCUGCCUCCAGAGUUAUGGUCUCUGGUGUUUUUUGAUUAUUCUCAAAUGAAAUUUGGGGAAAACUGGAAUCAAACUAUGUCAUUUUGGAAAUUUCUGCAUGAACUGACCUUUUCCUUGUGAGCUUUUAAUGAAUUUGUAUUAUGAGUUGUUAUGAAAGGUUAUUAUGUAGGGAUUACUUAUUAGACUGGUUACUCACCAGAGGGACACAUUAAAAAAAAAAAAAAAAGAAGUUGGCCCACCCAUCUGGUUCUUCCCAUAUCCUCCCAAACCAUCUUCAACCGGGAGAAUUAUAAUAUGCAAAUAAGCCAUCUGCAAUGUCCAAAUGGGAGGAUAGCUUCCAUUUCUUUGUCAGAGAUCUGCCAGGGCUGGGUAGUAAUUUCUGUAGCUUUCUUAAGACGAAGAGGACCUGUUAAAAAGUACCUUGAUUAAAAAUGUACCUUAUUAUAAUAAUAGGGACAUUUGGAAUUGGGUGCCCAGGCCACUUUCUGAGUUAAAAAAAAAUCUCCUGUUGCCAGAUUCAGCCUCUAACUGUGGGAUGUCUGUGUUCCAUCAUAGGUGUCCUCAACUUUUUAAAAGAAUCCCUCUACAGAGAAAAAAAAAAAAGUGAUACCAAUUGAAGAGUUCAGAUUGAAUAAUACUUUUGGGCCUGUCUUCCUUAAGAAAGUAGGUACCCACAGUGUUCUCAUUUUCAAAAAAGCUAUAUGUCAUGUCAGUGUUGAGUAGUGUGUGAGGAGCUUGUGGGAAUCUGGGUGGAGUGGUCUGGUAAGUAGAUUGGUUGGAAAUAGUCCAAACCUCCAUGUGUAGUUCAAACCUCAGAUGUGAAUGAGAUUUUAUAUAGGCUAGCCUUUAGACUGAGAACAAGAGACCUUCCAAUUUUAGGGGAUUAACUGAAAAGUUGCCAAUGAAGGAGAAGUGAGCAAGGAAGUAGGAAAUCCAGAAGAGAUUGAUGUUUUGGAAACUAAGACAUGACAGUGUUUGAAGAAGAAUGUAAUGUGUUUUUUGUUUGUUUUUCAUUUUUUGGGGGGAAAUAAUUUCAAACUUACAGGAAAAAAAAAGUACAAAGAAUACCUGUGUACUCUUUUCCCAGGUUCACCUGCUGUUAAAAUGUACCCCUAUUAGCUUUAUCAUUUCCUACACCUCCCCCCACACCCACAACUCCACCCCCCCCCCGCCAACACACAGUUUUUCUGAGCCAUUUUGAGGAUGUCUUACAUACAUACAUCAUGGUCUUUCACCCCUAAAUACCUAAAUAUUCAUUUCCUAAGAAUUGGGAUAGUCUCUUAGAUAACCACAAUGCAAUGAUCAACUUUAGUAAAUUUAAUAUUUAUAUUCUAACUUGGCUGGUUAACUCAGUGAUGUCUUUUUAUAAUAUUUUUCCCUCCAAUGCAGGAUAUAGUCUAGUUUCAGGUAUUUUCUUUUAUUUCAUUCAUUAGCUUUCUUUAAUAUGAAACAGUUGCACAGCCUUGUUUUGUCUUUUGUGACAUUGAAACUGUUUAAGAAUACAUCCUCCCCCCUUAAAAAAAAAAAAAGAAUGGUCCUGAGUUUGGGCUUGUUUGACGUUUCCUCAUGAUUGGAUUCUGGUUAUAUGAUUUUAGUUGGACACAACAUCCUUCUUGGGAUAUCACAUAUGGCAGCAAAUAAUUCCCAUCAGUAGUGGUAACUUUGACCACUGUCAAGGUGUUGUCCUGUUUCUUGACUAUACAAUUACUGUUUUCUUCUUCCUCCCUUGCAACUAGUGAGCAAAUUGUGAGGACACACU